CUAGCUACAAAACAAGGAGCUUUCCACGGAUUUCUUGGAGCUUCUAAGGACCGAAAAUCCUGCCUAGUUCAUCAACCAAAGUAGGAACUGAAAUGGGAGGAAUUUGGAGAAGCUUACUUGAUGGCUCAUUUGAUUAGAAUUUUGAAUGUAUUUGUUUAGACAACUUUUGGGAUCUGUAUAUUUUGGGAAUGUAAGGUAUUUUUGGUAGUUUUUGAUGUACGACUUGAACGUUUAGUAGGGAAUUGACCUUUCUCUUA